rnacentral:rRNA from 1 species
UGCCAGCCGCCGCGGUAAUACGGAGGGUGCAAGCGUUAUCCGGAUUUAUUGGGUUUAAAGGGUUCGUAGGCGGGAAAUUAAGUCAGUGGUGAAAGCCUGUGGCUCAACCAUAGAAUUGCCAUUGAUACUGAUUUUCUUGAGUACAUAUGAAGUGGGCGGAAUGUGUCAUGUAGCGGUGAAAUGCAUAGAUAUGACACAGAACACCGAUUGCGAAGGCAGCUCACUAAAUUGUUACUGACGCUGAGGAACGAAAGCGUGGGGAGCGAACAGGAUUAGAUA